UGCAGUGGAAGCGCGGAGUCUCAACCACUGGACCGCCAGGGAAGUCCCCAAAGAUACCAGCUGAUGCAAAGAUGUCUACCUAUCCAAGUAUUUACACUUGCUUUACGUGGCAUAAUUGCUGGCCACCUGGAGGCUACAAUUACAUAGCUGUAACAUGACUAGUUCUUGAGAAUAAUAUCUGAGAGUAAGCACUGGGUGUCACUUCCAGACCAAUAUGAUUAAGAACCACGUGUAUCUUUUUAAGAGACUCUGAAGACUAAGGAAUUACAAAAGUCACAAGUUGGAUGGAGCCUGGCUUCCUGAAUCACUACUCGAGGAUUGCUGCCCAUGGAUUGGGAAUACCCACUUCAACUUUACAUGAGAAAGAAAUAAACUUUUGGGUUUUACCUGUAUGGUUGCUAGCAUUAUGUAUGGUUGCUAGCAUUACCUUAACUAAUACAGUGACUAUCCAGUAAUAAUGGUCAAUUAUGUGACAAAAGUUAUGAGUAUGCCCAAAGUUCUUUACUGCAGAAAAAUUAGAAGGGAAAAAGCAACUAAAUAAAAUGAAUGAAAAGUACUUUUAGAAGAAUUCAUGUAAUAUUUAAUGGCCUGUUGGGAAUUAAGACCCCCUUGUAGAAAUUCCCAUAUGAAGGACUGCUUGAUUUCUGGUUUAGCAGAUCUGCAGACUCUCUAUUCUCUGCUGUAUAUACCCCUAGAUGAGGGGCCAAACCUGGCCUGCUGCGUGGCUCUGUAAAUAAAAUUUUAUUAGAACACA